rnacentral:rRNA from 1 species
UACGUAGGGCGCAAGCGUUGUCCGGAAUUAUUGGGCGUAAAGAGCUCGUAGGCGGCCUGUUGCGUCCGCUGUGAAAACCCGGGGCUUAACCCCGGGCUUGCAGUGGAUACGGGCAGGCUGGAGGCAGGCAGGGGAGAACGGAAUUCCCGGUGUAGCGGUGAAAUGCGUAGAGAUCGUAAGGAAGACCAGUGGCGAAGGCGGGUCUCUGGACAGUUCCUGACACUGAGGCACGAAGGCCAGGGGAGCAAACGGG